CUUAUACGUUAUGUCUUAUAUACUGUGUUAUAAAGAAAUAACAUAAAAAAUAGUUAUAUUAAAGUAUAAGCAUAUAAGUCAUGUAAUGCAGUCUCUCACUAUUUUGGAGGCUAGAUUCAAUUCAGAGCCCCACUCCUUCAGUUUUUCAAGAAAGAUCCAGAUUUGGGCCAGGCUCAUUAAUUACAACUAUUUUUAUAAGCCCAUAAAAUACAUGACAUUAAAAAUAAGUGAUAAAAUUGGAAGAAAAAUACUUGUAUCUCUGCAUUAUAGCUCUAUCUGCUAUGAUCAGUAUACUUUUGUUUUUAGUCAGGAAAUCUUCAUAUGUCAG
rnacentral:lncRNA from 1 species